GAAAAUGACUGGCACCGUGGCCUUAUUGGCUCCAGCAUCGACGCCUUCUUCUUCGGCCCGAAGGUUUCUUCGUCGUCGUAUCGCCAUCGAUGAAUCCCCACAUAACCCUCUGACUCGUCUCUUAGAUAAUUUCUCUGGUAUUUUAUCUUUCUCCUCUCAUUUUCUCUUCUUAACAUUCUUGGCUACUACUAUUUUUUGUUUGUGGAUUAAUUGAAAUUUUGUGUAGUUUCUUGGCAUGCAAUGGUUAAAUGCUGGCAUAUUAAGCCGAUGCAGAUCAGUGGUUGUUAAAUAUGCAAAUAAUUAUUUGGCUUCUUUAGAGCCCUAGUUCUACUCAAACGAAAUCCCUAAUUCUACUCAAACAAUUGUGGAUUGUGGCUUCUGUUGCAAAGGAAUUUAAGUUCACCUAGUUUUCUCUGGUUGUGGCUUCUUUAAUUACAUGUACAGGAGAAGUUUUGUGAUUAAGAGUUGUGUGUUACACUGAGCUGGAUUGGCUGGAAUGAAGAUAAUGCAUUAUAAAAUAGAUUAAAACGACUUAUGUAAUUGAGAUGGAAAAGUGAGUCAGUCCUAUUAUUGACUCUGAUUUUGUGGUAAUAAACUCAUUUUAUAAACGUUCUGGUUGGAGUGAAGCCUAUUUCCCAUUGUGAGUCAUAGAAAAUUAGGCUCUACUCUGCUCUCAAACCGCUUAAAAGAACUUUAUAACCCGGUAGUAAAUUGAGCUUAACUGUAGCUCCAUGUGUAAGAUGAUUCAGCCAGGUUUUAACUAAACUCUUUUAGUGUACUUAAUUCACAUGAUGUGAGAUCUCAUGUUAUGUCUUUAUGGUUGCCUGUUGCUCUUCUUUUGGCCUUAUGUUAUAUUUUUUUUACAGCUCAUCUUUUGUUGUGGUCUUUUAAGACAAUGGUAUAAACUAGUAUAAAACAUUGAAGAACUGACGGUCCUAUGUCAGAAGAUGUGGCUUUUGUCAAUGUUCUCGUCGAGGAAAAGUUCAGCCGACUUUGUGCAUGUGGAGAUGGAUUAAAGCCAUGUGGAGAUGGAUUAAAGCCACUAUCCAAAAGAGGAGAGAGGAUUAAUCUUGAUUUGCAAAAGGAGAAUGAAGAGCUGAACAAAAAGAAUGAAGAGUUGGCCUCUCGGAUUGAGAGAGAGGAUUAAUCUUGAUUUGCAAAAAGGAGAAUGCAGAGCUGAACAAAAAGAAUGAAGAGUUGGCCUCUCGGAUUGAGUCUUUAGAAGCUCAAAUUAGCAACCACCAAGUGAAUCUAGCAUGAUCACGUCUUUACUUGUAUUUGCAAUUUGUAUUUGAUGUUUUAGAAAUAAGUGUGAUCACGCUUUUUUCAACGUCUUAUGAAACAAUACUGUCAAACUAGCAUGAUCACGUCUUUACUUAAAGAAGCUUCCGCAUCAAUUUUGUAAUUCGAUCUAGUAUUUUUAGAAAUAAAUGUGAUCACGUCAUUUCUUAAA
rnacentral:lncRNA from 1 species